rnacentral:lncRNA from 1 species
CCCACCAACUCUCGUUCUCUCUCUUCCCCACCAACUCUCGUUCUCUCUCUUGCCCACCAACUCUCGUUCUCUCUCUUCCCCACCAACUCUCGUUCUCUCUCUUUCCCACUCUCUCUCAUUCUCUCUCUUCCCCACUCUCUUUCAUUCUCUCUCUUUCCCACUCUCUCUCGUUCUCUCUCUUCCCCACCAACUCUCAUUCUCUCUCUCCCCACCAACUCUCGUUCUCUCUCUUCCCCACUCUCUCUCAUUCUCUCUCUUUCCCACUCUCUCUCAUUCUUUCUCUUCCCCACCCUCUCUCGUUCUCUCUCUUCCCAACCAACUCUCGUUCUCUCUCUUCCCUACCCUCUCUCAUUCGCUCUCUUCCCCACUCUCUCUCAUUCUCUCUCUUUCCCACUCUCUCUCAUUCUCUCUCUUCCCCACCCCCUCUCAUUCUCUAUUUCACUCUACAGUGAUCUGAUCAUCUUGGCAUCAGACUGUACGUCAUGGUGUAUCAAAGCUGGAGAUGGGUGUGGUUCCUGUGUCCUUAUUUCAGAUGGGUAUGUUUCCUGUGUCCUUAUUUCAGAUGGGUGUGGUUCCUGUGUCCUUAUUUCAGAUGAGUGUGGUUCCUGUGUCCUUAUUUCACAUGAGUGAGGUUAAUGUGUCCUUAUUUCAGAUGGGUAUGUUUCCUGUGUCCUUAUUUCAGAUGGGUGUGGUUCCUGUGUCCUUAUUUCAGAUGGGUGUGGUUCCUGUGUCCUUAUUUCAGAUGAGUGAGGUUAAUGUGUCCUUAUUUCACAUGAGUAUGGUUCCUGUGUCCUUAUUUCAG